UACGUAGGGGGCUAGCGUUGUCCGGAAUCAUUGGGCGUAAAGCGCGUGUAGGCGGUCCGGUAAGUCCGCUGUGAAAGUCGAGGGCUCAACCCUCGAAUGCCGGUGGAUACUGUCGGGCUUGAGUACGGGAGAGGCGAGUGGAAUUCCUGGUGUAGCGGUGAAAUGCACAGAUAUCAGGAGGAACACCGAUUGCGAAGGCAGCUCGCUGGAACGUUACUGACGCUGAGACGCGAAAGCGUGGGGAGCAAACAGG
rnacentral:rRNA from 1 species